rnacentral:rRNA from 1 species
ACGGAAGGCAGCAGUGAGGAAUAUUGGUCAAUGGGCGGAAGCCUGAACCAGCCAUGCCGCGUGAAGGAAUACGGCCCUACGGGUCUUAAACUUCUUUUAUAGGGGGAUAAAGUGAGAUAUGUAUAUCUUUUUGUAGGUACCCUAUGAAUAAGCAUCGGCUAACUCCGUGCCAGCAGCCGCGGUAAUACGGAGGAUGCGAGCGUUAUCCGGAUUUAUUGGGUUUAAAGGGUGCGCAGGCGGCACGUUAAGUCAGCGGUGAAAUGUCGGGGCUCAACCCCGGCACUGCCGUUGAAACUGGCGAGCUUGAGUACGGAUGAAGUUGGCGGAAUGUGAUGUGUAGCGGUGAAAUGCUUAGAUAUGUCACAGAACACCGAUUGCGAAGGCAGCUGACUAAUCCGCAACUGACGCUCAGGCACGAAAGCGUGGGGAUCGAACAGGAUUAGAUACCCUGGUA